GGGAAGCAUCAAAGAGAUGAGAUGCUUCCUGAUACAAUCUUCCUACAUAAAAACUCUGAUGUUUCCUUGCUUAUAGUAACUCGUGCAAGUCACAAACCUCCAGAGACAUGA